UGGGCGCAAGCCUGAUGCAGCCAUGCCGCGUGUAUGAAGAAGGCCUUCGGGUUGUAAAGUACUUUCAGCGGGGAGGAAGGCGGUGAGGUUAAUAACCUUGCCGAUUGACGUUACCCGCAGAAGAAGCACCGGCUAACUCCGUGCCAGCAGCCGCGGUAAUACGGAGGGUGCAAGCGUUAAUCGGAAUUACUGGGCGUAAAGCGCACGCAGGCGGUCUGUUAAGUCAGAUGUGAAAUCCCCGGGCUUAACCUGGGAACUGCAUUUGAAACUGGCAGGCUUGAGUCUCGUAGAGGGGGGUAGAAUUCCAGGUGUAGCGGUGAAUUGUUUAUAGAUCUGGAGGAAUACCGGUGGCGAAAGCGGUUCCCUGGACGACCACCGCCGCU
rnacentral:rRNA from 1 species